GUCUUAUCCAGAGCAGCGGAGGGAACGGCCCUGUGAAGCUGCGGCAACCUGCGGAGGCCUUCUAAAGCGCCUACUAAGGUGCCAAUUCCGACCCGGUGGCCAUCCGGGAAAGAUAAGGA
rnacentral:ncRNA from 20 species